UAGCGGGAGGCUUAACACAUGCAAGUCGUGGGGCAGCAUAGGGUAGCAAUACUCUGAUGGCGACCGGCGCACGGGUGAGUAACGCGUAUGCAACCUACCCUGUACAGGGGGAUAGCCCGGAGAAAUUCGGAUUAAUACCCCAUAAAGAUAACCAGAGGCAUCUUUGGAUAUUUAAAGUUUCGGCGGUACGGGAUGGGCAUGCGUAACAUUAGCUAGUUGGCAGGGUAACGGCCUACCAAGGCGACGAUGUUUUAGGGGACCUGAGAGGGUGAUCCCCCACACUGGUACUGAGACACGGACCAGACUCCUACGGGAGGCAGCAGUGAGGAAUAUUGGUCAAUGGGCGCAAGCCUGAACCAGCCAUCCCGCGUGCCAGGAAGAAUGCGCUAUGCGUUGUAAACUGCUUUUCCAGGGGAAGAAAAUUUCGCACGAGUGCGGGACUGACGGUACCUUGGGAAUAAGCAUCGGCUAACUCCGUGCCAGCCGCCGC
rnacentral:rRNA from 1 species